ACACAUAUAUAUAUAAAGAGAGAGAGAGAAUCUUAUUGUUACUCAUUUUAGUUUUUGGUAUCUGUAGCUUGCAACGACGAAUCAAUUCUCAUGAGCUUGACAAUGAGGCACUUGCUUUUAAGCCCGUUUUGGGUCCCAUGCUUGCGAGGAUAUACAACAAUCCUUAAAAAAAGGAAGAAAAUCAGUUUCGACUGCAGAAAAUUUUACAGUUUUGGGGCUCCAAGGAAGUCUAUGAUCAGGAUACUAUUCGUGCACUUGAAAAUGAGAUGAUGAGUGGACUACCUACAAAUUUUGCUGGUCCUUGGAGGGAACUACUGGCUGCAGAUCCUUCUGCUGGUGCAGGUAGUUGCUGCUAAUUUAGCUGUAAUAAAGAGUACCAUUAAAAGAAUGUAUCGCAAUUUUUACUUCUGUAUCCUUUUUUUUCAAGGAUUGUCACACCGAGUAGCAAACCAGAGUGUUUUACAGUGGAUGAGCAGGUGCCUCCUUUACCUAAUUUAGCCAAUCAAGAUAAAGUUGUUCCUCCAGUACCAUCUGCAGAUCGAUUUCAUAUUCCAGGGUCGAUGCCUGUGCUGUCCUCUGUUCCACAUGGAAAUCUACAAGUUGCAGUUCAUCCCAUCCCAGCAUCAACUGCCAAUGGAGGUGGAAAAUUGCCUCCAUACCCCUUGUUUCCUCCUGGUCUUAGUCCUGGUAUGGUCAGGAAGAUGUAGAUUGGUAGUGGGGUGUCUUACUCUCCGAUAUGCCCUUUGGAUAUCCCCACCAUUAUACCACCCUCCACCGUAUCAGAGUCUGAGAUUCUUGAGAGUGUGUCCAAAUUUUUGAGGGAGAUCGGAGAGGUUAAUCCAUCAGAAGGUCCUGUUAAACCAUCUGAUUCAGCCAAUGAUUAUGAUGACUAUGAGAGAGAACUUGCUGUUCGCAAUUGAGGGGCUUGCAUCCAUCCACCUUCAAACCUCCAAGUUGACCCUGAAAUUGGGAAUUACUCUGAUGGAGGUGUGGAGCAGAAGCCUGGAUUGAAUAGCUCAGGACGGUUAGGACUUGGAGCCACAGAUAAUCCAGAUGAGUCAAGUCAAUACGAUGAUGUCUACACUUCCUACAGAAAAGAAAGAAGCACAAAUUACCAUUCAUCAAUGAGUGCAAGAACUGUGAGGUAAAUUAAUCAUCAUUUUGACCAGUCUAUAGACAGCUCAUAGCGUUUGAGACGAACAUUUUUGUCUCUUUUUGCUGCUGUUGAGUGGACUUACAGUUUUCGUCUCUGUAACUUUUAAGUUGAUGUGGAUAUUGUAAGACAUAUUUUUUUCCUACAUGCUACAGAAUGAGUUAAAUCUUGCCGUGAUCUUCCAAUGAAUAAAUAACUAGUUUGAUCCUUAACAAAAAAAAAACUACGUUGUAAUGGACUCCCUCUAGCAUACACUAGUAGGGAGGACACCAACACAAAAGCUGGACAGAUGAACUUUGAGACUUCAAGUUUUCAACAUCUUAUGUUGUAUCACUUAUAUGGGAAGUGGUGAAACUAUUCUUAUGUGCUGUAGAAAGUGAUGGCUAUACUUUCGUCCACGCCAAAUUGAUACAGAGAUCAUUUACUUGAAAACUAAGUCCUAGAUGUGCAUUGCAUAUUUACUAUUUUGAGUUUGUGGGUUUGGAGGUCAAAGACAAUAUAGCCUAUUUGAAGCAUCAUAGUUUCUAGCAUUGCAGUGGCUGGGGAUGUCGACUUUGUUCCUUCUAUGUGCUUUUAGAAUUUAGCUUUAGUCAUAUUAUUCCUUCUAUGAAGGGGAGCCUUGGAGCAACAGUAAAGUUGUCUCUGUGUAUCCUUCAGGUGACGGGUUCGAGACAUGGAAUCUACCAUUGAUACUUGUGUCUGAGAAGACUGCUACAUUCCUCUCCUUUGGGUUGCGACCCUUCACCGUAUCCUGCAGGAACACAAGAUGCUUUGUGCACCAGACUAUCCAUUUUACUUGUUCUUUCUUUUCUUUUAUUGGUAACCAUGGUUGUGAUGGUUGAAAGACUGAGAAUGGCCUCAUUGAGUGGACAUAUAACUAUACUGGAACUUUUAUUUCAGCUCUUGGCUAUGCUGAAGGAAUGAAUGAAAAACAAUUGUAUCAUUGAAUGUUUAACCAAAUCUUGUCCAUAACAUGAGUUGUGUGCUCACAAGGCAUUUGAACAGCAUAAUGCAUCAACCAUCAUUUACUCUUGUCUCCUCUCCCUCUUUAACUCUCUGUUAAUCUGUGUUCAUUGCAAGUUAGAAUUGUGGUCUCAGAAAACUCCUAUCCAUCUACAUUUCGGUCUCUCUCUCUCUCCCACUCCCCUCUUUUUCCUUUGAAGAAUUCACUUCUUUUCGUCUCUGUUGGGAUGUGUGUUGGUACUUUUUAUCAAGAGACGGUGAAGGUUGGUGUCAAGUUUAAGGGAUUGUAAUUGCCCUUUUUAUUUACUGAUUGAUACCAGAUACAAGUUUUUUUUCUUUUUUAAAGGGAUAAAAGAUGCAUAAUAAGAAUUGAACUCAUACAUUCUAUAAGCUCCAAUCUACAUGUUUUCUUGGAAAACAAUUGAGUUUCUUACCUUAUUAAUAGUGUGAUAAAGCAAAAAAACAUUAUUCCAAAAGCAAUUUUAUGUAAUCUAGCAAAACAAUAUGAGUGUGACAAAACGGUCAAAGACUAAAAGGAGAGGGAAUUGAUGAACAUGAAAUGUUAAUCAUUGAAAUUUGUUUCUUCUAUUAGGAAAGUCAUUUUAUAUUUUGACCCAAAUAAACAUGAAAAAAUUAAAAAAUGUUUUAUAGUCAUUUAAAGGUAGAUUGUGUGCUUUUGAGAUAGGGGUAGCCCAACUAUAGGUAAUCCGCCCAACCCGUCCAUAAAUUUAAAGGUUGGGCUCAAAAUAAUUUGAAUUGAAUUCAAUCUCAACUCAUUCAAACCUUAACUCAUUUUAAGAAAAUCCUUAAUUGAGCCCAAUUUAAUCUCCAAUUUCAACCUGUUUUAAGACUCUUUAUUUGCUUCUCAAAUUGAAGGUAUGAAUUGCUAUCGCUUUUAUAUUUUUUAAAAUUCAUCUAUCCAUUUGUAACUUCUUCUUUUAAAUUUUGUUAAAUUGAAAUUCAAAUUGUGGUUAUAAAACUUGAAUAACAAUAUAUUAAAAUUAUUGAGAUUAAGUGGGUCAAAUUGGGAAGUCAUAACCCAACCAGUUUUUAAGUCCAACCCAUUUGAGCCCAAAGUAAAUUUGAACGGGUCAAGAUCCAAUCCAACCCAACUUCUAUUUCAACUCAUUCUAAUAUCUCCAAUUCCAAUCCAACCGUCCAAUUGACACCUUUGGCUUGAAAGAUCUUAUCUCAACUUGCUAAAUGUGGAAAUGAUCUUUUUAUCUUAUUGGUGUGGUGGAAAUGAUCUUAUAGUAGUUCACACCAUAUUCUUUUCUAGUGCAAAGGUCAAUGACAGGUAAAGUAUAUAUGAGUAAAACAAUUCUAUAUGCUAAUAAAUCAACUCAACUCAACAACUGCUGCAACCUAUAACCAUUUUCUCAAUGAAUUAUAGUAAUCAGAAUAGAUAUAUGAAUACUUGGAAUACAAGCAAGUUGAUAUGUAUAUGCAAAAUAAUAAUAAUAAGAUGAUACUCGUUCUGAACUUACUGACUCGCCUCUGAGCUUGUAGAUGAUGUUGGGAUAGCUAAAAAGGUAAUUGUCGAGUCCUGCUUACAGUUGCACCCAGUGCAAGUAAUUCUAUAUUUGUGAAAAUGAAAUCACAAAAAAGGAACAACAACUUGCAGCUGCUGCAACUAUAGGUUGGGCUUGACAAAACAAACAAACAAAGAAACUACUACUGUUACUAUCUCUAACUCCUUUAUAAGGUGUUUCCAUAAAAACCCUAGAUAGGGGCAUGAUUGUAAUUUUUUCAGCUAACCCUACUAUGAGGAAAGAAAGA
rnacentral:lncRNA from 1 species